AUGCCCGCUCAUUCCCACUUCCCCAUAGAUCCUGUCUUUUCAUUUCACAUUUCACAAAGCACAAACCGUCCUCUGCUUUCUUUCCGAUUUAGGGUUUCUUACUCAUCCCUGUCUUUCUUUCUCUCUCUCUCUCUACAAACCCAUUUGUGAAAGCGAAAAGUAGUGAUUGUUGGUAGAUGGAGUUCUGAUUUUUAUCCCCAGCCGACCUCUCUUUCCCCUCAAAUCGCACAACCCUGAGACGAUCGACCAUCACUACUGUUGCGUUUGAGAAGACCACUGCCGCCGCCGGAUGUACAGGUCGCCACCGCUAGCCUGAUGUCGUUUAUUUCAGAAGAUAGGGGUUGUAUUCUUAUUUUGUCGUUGUGAUUCUACCAUCAUUUACCUUUAACAAGGUGCAGACACUAAAAAUCGGAGUCUCUGUAGGUAGGCUAGGGUUUGGUAAGUGGAGAUUCGAGUAGAUGGAAUUUGAGAAAGGUUUGAUUUUAGAACACUAUUUUGAGUUUUGUUUCUUGUUGUUUUAGGUAUCAUAUGUUUUUUGAAGGCG
rnacentral:lncRNA from 1 species